rnacentral:lncRNA from 1 species
AUCAUGGAUGUGAAUAGUGAAGAACGUGGGUUUGUCGUCGCAAAUAAAUAUUGCAAAAAAAUGGGCUAAACAUGCUGGGUUGGUGUUUAUUUCCCUCUUAUCAUAGCUGUUUGCAGCUAAUGUCAUCUCAUGAAGACGGAAACUAAUACUAAGGGUUUAAUUUGACUUAUUGGUAGACGUAUAUAGAAUGUCUUAGAAAGUGAGAGUGGCUUUUUCUAGUUGACAGAACAUCUAAGUAUAAAGUAAUGCUAGUGCGGGUACAAGAAGUUACUGACUGCCCAUAUUCGGCCCUAUCCAAAGUUUUCCAAAAACUAAGCUGAUUUUCGUUUAGACUCAAGGAUUGUGUGAUGGGUCUUGGGGGGUAAUCAAAACACUUGAAGUCUCCUUAGGAUAGGAAAUACUUCUACAAAAUUGCUAAGCAA